UACGUAGGGUGCAAGCGUUGUCCGGAAUUAUUGGGCGUAAAGAGCUCGUAGGCGGUUUGUCGCGUCUGCUGUGAAAACUUGGGGCUUAACCCCGGGCCUGCAGUGGGUACGGGCAGACUAGAGUGCGGUAGGGGAGACUGGAAUUCCUGGUGUAGCGGUGAAAUGCGCAGAUAUCAGGAGGAACACCGGUGGCGAAGGCGGGUCUCUGGGCCGUAACUGACGCUGAGGAGCGAAAGCGUGGGGAGCGAACAGG
rnacentral:rRNA from 1 species